AUGGAGGCGGCGGGAGAGGGGAGGAAGCUCCAUCACCACGCGGGCGGCGGCAGGGCGCAGAUGGAGGCCAGCCCGGAGCGCGGCAGGCCUGCGUACGCGUCGGCGGUGACGGCGAGGUCGGCGCCGGCGAGGCCCAUGAGGCGGGUGCAGAUCAUCUACUACCUCUGCCGCAACGGCCAGCUCGAGCACCCGCACUUCAUGGAGCUCGCGCAGCAUCCCCACCAGCCGCUGCGCCUCAAAGAUGUGAUGGACAAGCUUACGCUGCUGAGGGGCAAAGGCAUGCCUGCUCUCUUCUCGUGGUCUUGCAAGAGGAACUACAAGAACGGCUACGUGUGGAACGACCUCUCGGAGAGCGACGUGAUAUACCCGUCCGACGGCGUGGAGUACGUCCUCAAGGGCUCCGAGAUCUUCCCCGGCUGUUCUUCCGCCGUUGCAGCGGAUCGGUUCCAGCACCUCCGGGUGACGGACAGGUCGCCAACCAAGCCGCCGCUGGCCCUCCCGCACAGCCACAAGCAGCACGUGGACGGCUACCGGGACGACGCCGGCGAGGACCCCGAGGACGACGAGCUUGGGUACCCGUACCACCGGCGUGCCGCGGCGGCUCGGCUGGGCGGGCCGAACAAGCCCGUCUCGGCCCGCACCAACCGUGGCCACCCCGUGGAGCUGCCCGUCGAGGAGACCUCGCCGCCGUCCUCGACGUCGUCCGACAAGCCGCCGCCGGCGCAGCAGGCGAGCCGCUGCGACGAGGCCGAGCCGAACAGGACCGGCUCGAUGCUCCUGCAGCUCAUCGCGUGCGGGGCGGUCACCGCCGGUCCGGCCAAGUGCGGCGGCCGGGCCGAGCCGAGGCGGAGCUGCGGCCUGGUGAGCCGGCUGUCGUCCCGCGCCGGCGCGGAGGAUGACGACGAGGAGGAGGAGGCUGGCGGCGAGCUGAGCCGGCGGUUCGGCCGCAUGAGGGCGGAGGAGAAGGAGUACUUCAGCGGCAGCAUCACCGUGGACAGCGGUGGCCGGGGCACCCCGCUGCCUGCUUCGUCGCUCAAGCGCUCCAACUCGUACACCGAGGAGAGGUUGCAUGCCAUAAUAAAAACUUUUGCAAAAACCGAAUAA
rnacentral:rRNA from 1 species